GCUAGGAGAUAGUUGGUUGCCGCGGUUACGCUUUCUAACAAGAAGUUGCCCAUUUUUAAAACAAUAAUGGGAAUCAGGAACACGAUCCCACUCAAAGAUGACAUUUGCGCCGGUAAAGGCAAGUUUGCUGUUUGCCAGAAGAAAGAGAGCAGUGACAGUCAUGUUGCAAUAGUACACUCUGACGCGAUAGAGUUGAUGAUUCUGGACAAGAGGGGAAAUAUCCAACAACAGCACGUGCUGGACAUUAACGAGCUAAUAGUCGAUGAACCCGAUGAUAUACAAGUCCGAAAGUUUGAAACACAAACAAUAAAGAAGUCA